GGCCGGGUCCCCAGGGGUGCUUCUAUUAAAUGAUUCUUUUUAGAUCUUUCUUUUUUGCUUCGGCAUUUUAGGAGAUCUUGUUACUUUGAGUAAAUUAGAGUGUUCAAAGCAAACAGAUUAUAGCAUCUUUAUGCGUUUGAAUACUACAGCAUGGAAUAACAAAAUUGAACAAGUGAGAAUUUUGUUCUUUUUUCUUAUUUUGGCUUAGUUACGAUUAAUAGGAGUAGCUUGGGGGCAUUUGUAUUCAGAUGUCAGAGGUGAAAUUCUUAGAUUUUCUGGAGACAAACAACUGCGAAAGCAUUUGCCUAAAAUACUUCCAUUAAUCAAGAACGAAAGUUAAGGGAGUGAAGACGAUCAGAUACCGUUUUUUUCUUAACCAUAAACUAUGUCGACUAGGCUUUGGAGAAAGAUCUAAAAACAAAUGUCCCCCGGGCA
rnacentral:rRNA from 1 species